GAGCCAGUAAGGCAUAGUGGUUUGAGUGCUGGAUUAAGACUCUGGAGAUCAGGGUUAAAUUCCCAGCUGGUCA